rnacentral:lncRNA from 1 species
UCCAUGGUAAAGACUCAUCUUUUGUCACACAAUAAUGAAGAGGUUUUAAGGUUGGCGUGGAGAUGAGAUAGGAUAGGAUAAACACUAGGUAGUUUCGUUUAAAUUCAAAUCUAUUUGAAUUCAAAACUUAACUAAUCCUAUCCUAUCCCAAGAAGAUGCAAAAGAGAGGUGAGAAACAUUAGAUUGGUAUGCAAAAUUAUUACACAAAAAUUGAUUCUCGUAUGGGAAGAGAGGUCGGCAAUUUUGGGAAGAGUCCAACAAGGUUUGGACUCUAAGUUCUCAUUCAAAUUCAAACCUUUUGAACUCAAAUUUUAAACCAACCUCAUCUAAAUCCAAAAAAGAUCAGAAAGUGGGCGUCAAUCAUCUUCUGAGCAUGAGAAACAUUCACAUAGAAAUAUUUCUCGCAUAAAGAAAAGAAGGGCAUAGAGAUAGGGUAGCGCAUGGGCUUUGGUUCAAAUCUAUUUGAAUUUAAAUUUUAUCCAAUUAGAUUCUUAACCAAACUAAAUUAGAUUGAAUCCAUUCAGGCCAUUGAAUCUAAUCUAAUUGGAUAAUAAAUUAUCUUAAUUAAAUUUAAUCAAAUUAAAAAUUAAUCAAAUUCAAGUUUUGAUCAAAUCA